rnacentral:rRNA from 1 species
UACGAAGGGGGCUAGCGUUGUUCGGAAUUACUGGGCGUAAAGCGCACGUAGGCGGACAGGGAAGUUGGGGGUGAAAUCCCGGGGCUCAACCCCGGAACUGCCUCCAAAACUCCCUGUCUGGAGGUCGGGAGAGGCGAGUGGAAUUCCGAGUGUAGAGGUGAAAUUCGUAGAUAUUCGGAGGAACACCAGUGGCGAAGGCGGCUCGCUGGCCCGAUACUGACGCUGAGGUGCGAAAGCGUGGGGAGCAAACAGG